rnacentral:misc_RNA from 1 species
GUGGAUGUUGCCAUUCAAAACAAAAAUGAAAUUGAGGAUAAAAUGAAAGAUGGAAUACCUGUUGUCAUAGCAUUAGAAGCUAGGGAAAUGAGGCAUUCACAACAUGAUUGUCCUUCUCAGCUCUCUGGUGAGGAAACACUCAAGCUUAUGAGAGAUCAGAAGAAGAAUUUAAGUGAUUCAGUAGGAGGCAAGAUCAUGGGACUCAAUCAGCAUAAAUAUGUAGGAAGCAGUCAACGGAGAAAGAGGGGAAGACCACGCAAACUAGUAGUUGUU